rnacentral:rRNA from 1 species
UGGUAAUGCCGGAUGCUCCGACUCCUCGCAUGGGGUGUCGGGAAAGAUUUCAUCGGUAUGGGAUGGGGUCGCGUCCUAUCAGGUAGUCGGCGGGGUAACGGCCCACCGAGCCUACGACGGGUAGCCGGCCUGAGAGGGCGACCGGCCACAUUGGGACUGAGAUACGGCCCAGACUCCUACGGGAGGCAGCAGUGGGGAAUAUUGCACAAUGGGCGCAAGCCUGAUGCAGCGACGCCGCGUGCGGGAUGACGGCCUUCGGGUUGUAAACCGCUUUUGAUCGGGAGCAAGCCUUCGGGUGAGUGUACCUUUCGAAUAAGCACCGGCUAACUACGUGCCAGCAGCCGCGGUAAUACGUAGGGUGCAAGCGUUAUCCGGAAUUAUUGGGCGUAAAGGGCUCGUAGGCGGUUCGUCGCGUCCGGUGUGAAAGUCCAUCGCUUAACGGUGGAUCUGCGCCGGGUACGGGCGGGCUGGAGUGCGGUAGGGGAGACUGGAAUUCCCGGUGUAACGGUGGAAUGUGUAGAUAUCGGAAAGAACACCA